UCCGUCCUAUCGACGGCAGUCCCCCUAGAGUGCUCAACUUUACUUGUUAGCAACUAGGGGCAAGGGUUGCGCUCGUUGCGGGACUUAACCCAACAUCUCACGACACGAGCUGACGACAGCCAUGCAGCACCUGUGCAACGGCCCCUUGCGGGGAAGGUGUGUUUCCACACCUGUCCGAUGCAUGUCAAGCCUGGGUAAGGUUCUUCGCGUUGCAUCGAAUUAAACCACAUGCUCCACCGCUUGUGCGGGCCCCCGUCAAUUCCUUUGAGUUUCAACCUUGCGGUCGUACUCCCCAGGCGGGGCACUUAAUGCGUUAGCUGCGGCACGGAAGGGGUCGAUGCCUCCCACACCUAGUGCCCACCGUUUACAGCUGGGACUAC
rnacentral:misc_RNA from 1 species